UACAGAGGGGGCAAGCGUUGUUCGGAAUUACUGGGCGUAAAGGGCGCGUAGGCGGCCCGCUAAGUCGAACGUGAAAUCCCCGAGCUCAACUCGGGAACUGCGUCCGAUACUGGCGGGCUUGAAUCCGGGAGAGGGAUGCGGAAUUCCAGGUGUAGCGGUGAAAUGCGUAGAUAUCUGGAGGAACACCGGUGGCGAAGGCGGCAUCCUGGACCGGUAUUGACGCUGAGGUGCGAAAGCGUGGGGAGCAAACAGG
rnacentral:rRNA from 1 species